CCUCCCGUAUCCCCUCCUGCGCCGCCCUCCCGUCCGUCCGUCGAUGCAAAACAAAACAAAACAAAAACCAGCAAUGGCGACCGACCCCCUUCCACCCCACUCCUCUUCCCCUCCUCGGGCCGCCCAGUCGUCAUCGCGACCGAGGACCAGAGAGGCGGGCGGGGAGCUCGAGGCGGCCUGCGCGUGGAGGGACAGCAGCGGCGGCGGCGGCGAGUCAGGGUCCAGCGAUGGGGUUCGUCUCCUUCAUCGGGAGGAUGCUCUUCGCCUCCGUCUUCCUCCUCCCCGCCUACCAGGAGUACGCUCUCCUCCCCCCUCUUUCCCCGCCAGAUCUCGUCCGUGCCCCGGACCUGCCGCCUCCCGGGACCGACGCACCGCUCUACGGUGGAGCCAGGCCCCUAGCUCCUGGUCGUCGGUGCGACGCCCGAGGGUUGGUUUGUGCGGGUGAAUGUGGUGAGAUCCGGCCGGGCGGCGCCUCAGUCUGUCCUGUCGCGGUAGAUCUCGCCGGUGUAGGGUAGAUGUUGACCCGCCGUGGCGAUUCAUAGUCAUAGAUGUAGAGACGCACGGGGAGCACAUGAGCAUGGUUUCAGAUCAGGCUCCUGUGACGAACCCCAUCCGGUCUAGAAGCUUCCAGGUCUAGCGUAUCGGCAUGAACGACGUCUCUUUCAGAAUGCAUAGUUUACCUGCGGACAUCCGGGCUUAGCAUUUGCUGCCUAAUUGGCUAGCUAGCUUCACCCUGCUAGCGUUUUUGGUUCAAUACCAAGGGCUAAGUUACGUUUGAAUGCUGGAUUUUCUAUGGUAUGGUACAUCAAGUGUUGUGUCGCUCGUUCAGAGCAUUUGAAUGCCGGAUUUUCUAAGUUAAGUGCUGUAAAAUGCCAAAUCUGGCAUUGUUGCUGCUUCGAUGUUUGAUCUUCAUACAUUUUGCUUCUGCAAUAUCCUGUUGUAGCAUCUAACAGUGGAAUGCUUUAACAACAACCUUCCCGAAAGAUUCCAAAUGUGGUGGCAGGUUAUUCUUAUUGUUUAACCACUUGAUAGGCUCAUGUCUGUUGAGUUUGUGCAACUGAUUUGCUGCAGUCCAAAUUUACGUGUUUAUGCUUAUUUUAUUAUUUGCAUUCUAUAUGUGACAAUGCAACAGUUCUUUGAGGCAUCAAUCCAUGAUAACUGGGCAUAUCGGUUUAUGCUUAGAUAUAAUGAAACCAAAUAUAUAUUCUGUCUUAUUAUACGGAACCAAUUAUAUUUAAUCCAUGUUAAAAUGAUUAUGCAUUUAUCAUGUUGGAACUUCUUUGUCAAGCAAGUCUCCGCCAGCAUUGGGAUGGCAAUGCCACACAUUGAUAUCAAGUCUGUCAUUGCCUUUACCAUGUUUCUUAAAGCCUUUGGUGGUCUCCUUUUCAUCAUCAUCAGCUCGUUCGGAGCGGUCGUAUUGGGCAAUGGAUAAAAUCUACUCUGGAUAGUAGACAGAGGGAGUACAUGCUAAGUUGACUUUUUUCCUGCGGAAUUGCUUAUUGUGAAGAUGCUUGCAAGGAUGCAGAGGGAGCGGAUCAUUUGGAGAGAUAUGAUGCCACUGUUUGGUGUUUUUAUGCAUUUUGGUUUGCUUGUAACUGUGUUUGCACUAGUUGGGAGUAAGUGACUUGGCAAGAAGUGUAGGUGUUUUAAUUGAAGGCAUGAAAAGCCAUGACAAUUAUGUAUGCUCUUACAGGAUGUGCUCUAAUGCCGCUGGUUUAUUAUAAAUCUUGGAUUAGUAAUGAUGUGUAAUGUUGCUGGUUUAUUGCAAAUAUGUGUUU